UACAGAGGUCUCAAGCGUUGUUCGGAUUCAUUGGGCGUAAAGGGUGCGUAGGCGGCGCGGUAAGUCGGGUGUGAAAUCUCGGAGCUUAACUCCGAAACUGCAUUCGAUACUGCCGUGCUUGAGGACUGGAGAGGAGACUGGAAUUUACGGUGUAGCGGUGAAAUGCGUAGAUAUCGUAAGGAAGACCAGUGGCGAAGGCGGGUCUCUGGACAAUUCCUGACGCUGAGGCACGAAGGUCAGGGGAGCAAACGGG
rnacentral:rRNA from 1 species